AACGAACGCUGGCGGCAUGCCUAACACAUGCCAGUCGAACGAGACCUUCGGGUCUAGUGGCGCACGGGUGCGUAACGCGUGGGAACCUGCCCUUAGGUUCGGAAUAACUCCCCGAAAGGGGUGCUAAUACCGGAUAAUGUCUUCGGACCAAAGAUUUAUCGCCUUUGGAUGGGCCCGCGUUGGAUUAGCUAGUUGGUAGGGUAAAAGCCUACCAAGGCGACGAUCCAUAGCUGGUCUGAGAGGAUGAUCAGCCACACUGGGACUGAGACACGGCCCAGACUCCUACGGGAGGCAGCAGUAGGGAAUAUUGGACAAUGGGCGAAAGCCUGAUCCAGCAAUGCCGCGUGAGUGAUGAAGGCCUUAGGGUUGUAAAGCUCUUUUACCCGGGAUGAUAAUGACAGUACCGGGAGAAUAAGCUCCGGCUAACUCCGUG
rnacentral:rRNA from 1 species